rnacentral:rRNA from 1 species
GACGAACGCUGGCGGCGUGCCUAAUACAUGCAAGUCGAACGCAGUGGGGACGGGUGAGUAACACGUGGGUAACCUCCCAUCAGAGGGGAUAACACUUGGAAACAGGUUCUAAACCUAUACUGAUGGAUGGACCCGCGGUGCAUUAGCUAGUUGGUGAGGUAACGGCUCACAAAGGCCACGAUGCAUAGCCGACCGGUGAGGGUGAUCGGCAACACUAGGACUAAGACACGGCCCAGAAUCCUAAGGAGGGUAGCAGUAGGGAAUCUUCGGCAAUGGACGAAAGUCUGACCGAGCAACGCCGCGUGAGUGAAGAAGGUUUUCGGAUCGUAAAACUCUGUUGUUAGAGAAGCGGUAUCUAACCAGAAAGCCACGGCUAACUACGUGCCAGCAGCCGCGGUAAAUC